rnacentral:rRNA from 1 species
GAUGAACGCUAGCGAUAGGCUUAACACAUGCAAGUCGAGGGGUAACAUGGGAGUAGCUUGCUACUUCUGAUGACGACCGGCGGACGGGUGAGUAACACGUGGGCAACCUGCCUACAAGACUGGGAUAACUCCGGGAAACCGGGGCUAAUACCGGAUAAUCCAUCGAACCGCAUGGUUCGGUGUUGAAAGAUGGCUUUUAGCUAUCACUUGUAGAUGGGCCCGCGGCGCAUUAGCUAGUUGGUAGGGUAAUGGCCUACCAAGGCAACGAUGCGUAGCCGACCUGAGAGGGUGAUCGGCCACACUGGGACUGAGACACGGCCCAG